AGGGUUGUAGUUUAAAUAAAAAAUAUUUGAUUUGCAUUCAAAAGAAAUAAUUUUUAUCUGCCUUAUUUUU